AGCCACGCUGAGUGCGCUGGCAGUCCAGUAGUGUCGGCGCUGCGCUGCGCCCGUCCCCGCCGUGUGUCUGACACGUAGCCGCGCGACUAGUGAGUGUGAAGGUGCUGGCAUGCGGUGCUACGAGGUGAUGCGCGGGUGGUGCGUGCGCUGGGCCGGCGGGCCGCGCUCGCGCCUGCGCUGGCUGGCCGCGCUGCUGUGCUGGGCGGCGCUGGCGCUGGUGGCCCUGCCGCGCCUGCAGCCGCCGCCGCGCCGCGCGCCGCCCGCGCCCCCGCGCGCCUGCUGCUGCAGUCCGAGGCGGCCGGCUCCACGCCCGCGCCCGCCGCGCCCACGGCGCUGCCCGCCACGGACGCGCGCGUGCUCUCCGAGGAGCAGCUGCGCGCCGACGCCGAGCGGCGCCUGCCUUCGCUGCCGCUCACCUACUGGCACAAGCACAAAGACGACAAAAACAAGUUCCUCAAGAAGAAAGACUGCGCGCCGUUCCCCUCCAUCUACGAGCUGGAGUUCCACAACACGUACUGGCAGUCGUUCCACUCGAGCCAGGGCGUGUUCCACAUAUACGGCGCGUACCUGGACGCGCGCAACACGUCGCGCCUCGGGCCCGCCGUGCGCCUGCUGGCCGUGCACGACCGCAUCCAGCCGACCGUGGUGACGCACUGCCAGCUGUGGUUCGAGGAGAUGGAGGCGCCCGUGGUGGUGCACGUGCUGGAGUACAAGUACGUGUGGAACAGCAAGUGGGGCAACUACCGCAACCACGUGCUGCACCCGUACCUGAUGGCCUGCGUGCUGCCGGCCGAGGUGCGCCACCUGGUGCCCGCCUCCGUGUCGCUGGUGGAGAACGCCUGCGACCGCGCCACCAACAACCUGCGCGUACACUUCGACAUGCCCAAGCCGCCCGCGCAGCGCAAGGACUUUGCUGUUUGCGUCAAGGGCUUGGACUUUUUGCACGAGGACCUUUCCGUGCGACUCGUGGAGUGGAUAGAACUAGUCCGCCUACUCGGAGCCGACAAAAUAUUCUUUUACGAGCUGCAGGUGCAUCCUAACAUCACGAAGGUGUUAGACCACUACGUGCAGCAAGGGACGGUGACAGUGACGCCCGUGACGCUGCCGGGCGGGCAGCCCAACCUGCCCGGGCUGCAGCACAUGUACCUCAAGAAGAAGCUGACGCACAAGCGGCAGAUGGAGCUGAUCCCGUACAACGACUGCCUGUACCGGCACAUGUACGAGUACCGCUGGCUGGCGCUGCUCGACAUCGACGAGGUGAUCGUCCCGCUGGAGGACGGGGACUGGGCGUCGCUGAUGAAGCGCGUGCUGCCGCUGGCCAAGCCGGCCGAGGGCAAGCCGCCGCGCUCCUCGUACCACGCCACCAACAUCUACUUCCUGGACUCGCUGGGCCACGAGCACGGCUGGGAGGAGGGCGUGCCGCACUACAUGCACAUGCUGCAGCACGUCACGCGCACGCGCAACUUCACCAAGCCCGGCCAGUACAUCAAGGCGUUCCACGAGACGGACCGCGUGCUGAGCCUGCACAACCAUUUCCCGCUGGCGUGCCUGGGCGGCGCGUGCAGCUCGUACGCCAUGGAGACCCGGCACGCGCGCCUGCAGCACUACCGCGCCGACUGCGUGGCCACGCUCAAGUCGUGCCAGGAGCUCAAGACAGACCCCGUGCGCGACGAGGCGCUGUGGCGCUGGCGCGAGCCGCUCGUGGCGCGCGUCGACGCCGUGCUGCGCGCGCUCUCCUUCCUACCGCCGCUGCCGCACCGGUGACCGCCCCCCUCCCCCUUAGUCUUAUGUAUUAAAUGCUAGUAUUAAACCUAUUUUUAUAGUUAUUGUAAUAA